UGAGAAUUUGCCUUUAGGAGGGGGAUAACAACUGGAAACGGUUGCUAAUACCCCAUAUGCUUUCGAGUGAAAUGGAUUUUUCCGCCUAAAGAGAAGCUUGCGGCUGAUUAGCUUGUUGGUGAGGUAAUGGCUCACCAAGGCGACGAUCAGUAUCUGGUUUGAGAGGACGAUCAGACACACUGGAACUGAGACACGGUCCAGACUCCUACGGGAGGCAGCAGUGGGGAAUUUUCCGCAAUGGGCGAAAGCCUGACGGAGCAAUACCGCGUGAGGGAUGACGGCCUAUGGGUUGUAAACCUCUUUUUUCAGGGAGGAAUAAAAUGACGUGUACCUGAAGAAUAAGCAUCGGCUAACUCCGUGCCAGCAGCCGCGGUAAGACGGAGGAUGCAAGUGUUAUCCGGAAUCACUGGGCGUAAAGCGUCUGUAGGUGGUCCAAUAAGUCAACUGUUAAAUCUUGAGGCUCAACCUCAAAACCGCAGUCGAAACUAUUAGACUAGAGUAUAGUAGGGGUAAAGGGAAUUUCCAGUGGAGCGGUGAAAUGCGUAGAGAUUGGAAAGAACACCGAUGGCGAAGGCACUUUACUGGGCUAUUACUGACACUCAGAGACGAAAGCUAGG
rnacentral:rRNA from 1 species